CACUCGUCGAGUGUUCUCGGAGGAGGUUCCGGACUGUAGAUACAACAACUCAGUCUUAUAAUACUCAAAAUGCACUGGGAAUACUUCCUUUUUGAAGAGCGUUAGCAGCAGUUUUGGAUCUGAACGAUUGUGGUAAUUCCUGAUGCUCUGCUUUCCAUGUCGUUCAGCCUGUGGAAUGCUUCCGGUGGUUUUUCCAGCUUUUUCAUACAUAUUUGGACCGCGACCCUAAGAAUUUGAGACACUUGUUUGCUGUUCUUGGAAGGUAACCAGCUCCUGAGGGACUUAGUAAAGUCAGUUCCACCCUAUAAACAUCGGAUCAUUUUUCGCGCGAACCAGCUUCUCCACCUCUCCUCUGCAACGCGAAUGAACGCGCAACUUCCACGCGACUGAACGAUCCACGCGAUCGCCUCAGUCUUUCGACCACGGUUUGCGUAAAACUGACCGGGGUGACGUUGGUGUUCUCUUAAAGAUUUGACAGAUUUGUUUUGAAAAAUAAGCGAAUACGCCGGAUGGACUUGUCUUUAACAUGCACUCGAACAGGAAACUUCUUGCAAGUAAAGUAAUUUUUGAACUCUUCAGUGUACGAAGUACAAGCACCUACGCGUAUGCAUAUUGUCGAACUGAGGUUCAAAGACCUAGAAGAAUUCAACAAUUAUUAUUUCAAACAGACAGCAGACUCUUAGUCCCAUGUGAAACUCCAUCUUUUGUGAGUUAGCUAUCGAGGGGAAGAUUCUUAUUACUAAUAACUUCUGAAUAUCCACCUGUAUUUUCGUGUAAAUGUAGUUUAUCUGUUUAUAUGCGGUAACCCGCCUACAAGUUUUGUUUACAUGCUUAGGAUUUGAUUCCACACGGAGCUUCCGCCAAAAUAAAGUUGCCGGCUUGUUGUCGAGAA